AGAUUUUACUUUGUUCCCACCGAGGCCACAGGCUGAGCUCUGGGCCGUUUAAGGAAAAGAUUUGGUGGCAGCGGUGGCCCAGAGCUUCAAUUCCAGCAGAGGCCUGUGGAUCUCUGUGAGUUUGAGACGGAAGGACUCCCAGGCAAGGGAGGCAGAGGCUCAGGAGCAGGCAAUGCUGUAUCAAGGCAAUAGCCUUCCUUCAUGGUUCCUGCCACCAAGUCCCUGUCUUGAGUU
rnacentral:lncRNA from 1 species